UUAUGGUGGCUGGUCUGUAUGGGAAACUGAAUCCUUGACCCUGAUGUUACAAGGCUGUACUCUAACCAGCUGAGCUAACUGGCCAGCCUCAGAGUGUGGAGAUUUUAAGUACUAAAGUUUGACUUUUGUUCUAAUCCUGAAAUGAAUUAGCAUGGGUCCAACUAUAAAUUUUUUUUUUUUUUUUUUAACUUUAAUUAUGGGUGUUGCUGUCAUGACUUUUCCUAGAAACUUCACCUCAUGGCUAAGUUUCUUCCCUGUAUAGUGUGAAUACGAGCACUGGAUUCCAUAAUAAACCCGACCCUGUAGUUCCCUUUAGAAAAAGCCCCUUUUUGGGGUGGAUACGGACCAGACCGAGGGUGGGCACUUGGGUGGGAUGAAGAGGUGGGCAUGAGAAGCUUGAACUCACCAGCCUCUGCAUUCUAGGGAGGCACAACCACAUGGUGAAAGGCAGCAAGUGCUUCCUCUGCAGGCCACGGCUCAGCAUCUUUGUGAACAAAGGUUUGCCUGGUCACCUUGGGAAGGCACCAGCCCCUUCUUUAAAACAUGCUGCAGCCCAGCCUGACCUCAGACCAGCGCAGAGAAGCCAUGCACUUCCUGGGCCACCUCCUUUCUCCUCCCCAGCAGGAGAAGCGGCACUUUGUUACUCGAGUGAAUCAGCAGACUCUGCUUUUUGCAGAAAGCAAGAGAACUGAAAAUCCUGGAUUAACUAAGUGACAGUAUUCUUGUUUGCACUUACUACCCACCCCCACUGUUUGGAAACCUCUACAGAUUCAAACAAACUCUAUUCUUGUAUAGUUUUAAUCAGUUCUUACUGUAGAAUCUGGAGUCAAUAAUUUGUUUUUUAUAAAUAAUAUAUAUUAUGUAUAUGAAAUGUGUAUCUAUAGUAUGUCUAUUUGGAGACAGACAAGACUGCACACUAAAAUGCAGAUAAAGAUGAUUUGUAGAAAAUCAUAAGGUACUGGACUUUGUUAUGAAGCAACUUGGGCGAUUUCUUAUACAUGAGCAGAUGAAAAAUAUUUUAUUGCCUAAGAAUGAGCUUACAAACCCCGCCUCGCAGAAAAGGUUAUAGAAUACUGUUCUUUAUAACCAAAGAACCUACAUAAGACUGAACGUUUUUGCUGUCCGCUCUUGUAUUGUGUGAACAUUUAUGUUUGACUGCAAAUUUGGUGCCAUACUUCCCUUGGCUACCAAGCCAUGUGCUACUGUUCUCUGUCCUCUGUUUCAUAAGCACACUGAGAAAUCUCACAGCUACAUUCUUCGGGCUUCCACCUGGCCUGCCACCUGCUGACUUAACCUUGUAUUAUAACCCUGGACAAUGACGGGGCUCUGACUCCAGCAUUUCCUAAACCUUUGAUCAGCCCAGCCAGGCAGGUGGAAUGCAGAGAGCAGUAUUACUGUAAGAAAAUACAGGGACGAACCAUGAGUUGGGGAGGGCUUGUUGGUUUGGGGGUUUUUCUGGUGUGUGUGUGUGUGGUUUUGUUUCAGAUUGGUAGGUUUCAUUGUGGUGUGGUUUUGCUGUUGUUACUUUGCUUGAUUCUGGAAAAUGCUAAAGAGAUGGACUAAGCUAUAAAGUUCACCGUUUCACACUUUACUAUCUUUACAGGAGAUGAUUAAAUGCAGAUAAUCCUGCUUUUGUGUCUUCAUUUGUAAAAUUCUCCUAUAAACGGAGACAUUGAGGAAUUAUGUGUGUGGAAAUUUUUACAAAAGUACUUUCUGUCCCUAUUUGGUAGAUGCCUGUACCAUUGGUUUGAAUGUACAGCUAUAAAUGUGUUGUGAGAGCUAGAGCAAGAGAGCGUGUACAGCCUGCUGUUCCUUGUUUAAGUUCUCAGCAUCGGUAAAUGAGUAAGAAUGUUUAAUGAAAAGCUGCUGUUCAUGAUUUUUGUGUAUAGUGAGCUGACUGUAGUAUUUUACUAUUGUCUGUUUAAAAAAGAAAAACUGUAAUUUAUAUCGCCUUUCAACUUUAUUGUAUUUAAUGGGUACAGAUUUGUGUGUGUUUGUGUGUUUUAGAAUACAAACUGUCUAAUUCCAAUUUUAAAA